UUUAUGGAGAGUUUGAUCCUGGCUCAGGAUGAACGCUGGCGGCGUGCUUAACACAUGCAAGUCGAACGGUGAAGCCCCGCUUGCGGGGUGGAUCAGUGGCGAACGGGUGAGUAACACGUGAGCAAUCUGCCCCUGACUCUGGGAUAAGCGCUGGAAACGGCGUCUAAUACUGGAUACGAACCGUGGAGGCAUCUUCAACGGUUGGAAAGAUUUUUUGGUCAGGGAUGAGCUCGCGGCCUAUCAGCUUGUUGGUGAGGUAAUGGCUCACCAAGGCGUCGACGGGUAGCCGGCCUGAGAGGGUGACCGGCCACACUGGGACUGAGACACGGCCCAGACUCCUACGGGAGGCAGCAGUGGGGAAUAUUGCACAAUGGGCGAAAGCCUGAUGCAGCAACGCCGCGUGAGGGAUGACGGCCUUCGGGUUGUAAACCUCUUUUAGCAGGGAAGAAGCGAAAGUGACGGUACCUGCAGAAAAAGCGCCGGCUAACUACGUGCCAGCAGCCGCGGUAAUACGUAGGGCGCAAGCGUUAUCCGGAAUUAUUGGGCGUAAAGAGCUCGUAGGCGGUUUGUCGCGUCUGCUGUGAAAUCCCGAGGCUCAACUUCGGGUCUGCAGUGGGUACGGGCAGACUAGAGUGCGGUAGGGGAGAUUGGAAUUCCUGGUGUAGCGGUGGAAUGCGCAGAUAUCAGGAGGAACACCGAUGGCGAAGGCAGAUCUCUGGGCCGUAACUGACGCUGAGGAGCGAAAGGGUGGGGAGCAAACAGGCUUAGAUACCCUGGUAGUCCACCCCGUAAACGUUGGGAACUAGUUGUGGGGUCCAUUCCACGGAUUCCGUGACGCAGCUAACGCAUUAAGUUCCCCGCCUGGGGAGUACGGCCGCAAGGCUAAAACUCAAAGGAAUUGACGGGGACCCGCACAAGCGGCGGAGCAUGCGGAUUAAUUCGAUGCAACGCGAAGAACCUUACCAAGGCUUGACAUAUACGAGAACGCUGCAGAAAUGUAGAACUCUUUGGACACUCGUAAACAGGUGGUGCAUGGUUGUCGUCAGCUCGUGUCGUGAGAUGUUGGGUUAAGUCCCGCAACGAGCGCAACCCUCGUUCUAUGUUGCCAGCACGUAAUGGUGGGAACUCAUGGGAUACUGCCGGGGUCAACUCGGAGGAAGGUGGGGAUGACGUCAAAUCAUCAUGCCCCUUAUGUCUUGGGCUUCACGCAUGCUACAAUGGCCGGUACAAAGGGCUGCAAUACCGUGAGGUGGAGCGAAUCCCAAAAAGCCGGUCCCAGUUCGGAUUGAGGUCUGCAACUCGACCUCAUGAAGUCGGAGUCGCUAGUAAUCGCAGAUCAGCAACGCUGCGGUGAAUACGUUCCCGGGUCUUGUACACACCGCCCGUCAAGUCAUGAAAGUCGGUAACACCUGAAGCCGGUGGCCCAACCCUUGUGGAGGGAGCCGUCGAAGGUGGGAUCGGUAAUUAGGACUAAGUCGUAACAAGGUAGCCGUACCGGAAGGUGCGGCUGGAUCACCUCCUUU
rnacentral:rRNA from 1 species